rnacentral:rRNA from 1 species
AUUGAACGCUGGCGGCAGGCCUAACACAUGCAAGUCGAGCGGAUGAAGGGAGCUUGCUCCUGGAUUCAGCGGCGGACGGGUGAGUAAUGCCUAGGAAUCUGCCUGGUAGUGGGGGAUAACGUCCGGAAACGGGCGCUAAUACCGCAUACGUCCUGAGGGAGAAAGUGGGGGAGCUUCGGACCUCACGCUAUCAGAUGAACCUAGGUCGGAUUAGCUAGUUGGUGGGGUAAAGGCCUACCAAGGCGACGAUCCGUAACUGGUCUGAGAGGAUGAUCAGUCACACUGGAACUGAGACACGGUCCAGACUCCUACGGGAGGCAGCAGUGGGGAAUAUUGGACAAUGGGCGAAAGCCUGAUCCAGCCAUGCCGCGUGUGUGAAGAAGGUCUUCGGAUUGUAAAGCACUUUAAGUUGGGAGGAAGGGCAGUAAGUUAAUACCUUGCUGUUUUGACGUUACCAACAGAAUAAGCACCGGCUAACUUCGUG